rnacentral:rRNA from 1 species
CUAGACUUGACAUCCCCUGCAUAACCCAGAGAUGGGCGAAGUCCUUCGGGACAGGGUGACAGGUGGUGCAUGGUUGUCGUCAGCUCGUGUCGUGAGAUGUUGGGUUAAGUCCCGCAACGAGCGCAACCCUUAUCAUUAGUUGCUACCAUUUAGUUGAGCACUCUAGUGAGACUGCCCGGGUUAACCGGGAGGAAGGUGGGGAUGACGUCAAAUCAUCAUGCCCCUUAUGUCUAGGGCUACACACGUGCUACAAUGGUGAGUACAAAGAGAUGCAAGACCGCAAGGUGGAGCCAAACUCAAAAACUCAUCCCAGUUCGGAUUGUAGGCUGCAACUCGCCUACAUGAAGCCGGAGUUGCUAGUAAUCGCGAAUCAGCAUGUCGCGGUGAAUACGUUCCC